CCCUUAGAUGUCCUGGGCCGCACGCGCGCUACACUGAGUGUCUGAGAUACGAGUCUGCCUGGUCCGGCAAGGUCUAGGUAAUCGCUAAAAGACACAUCAUGCUUGGGAUAGAUUAUUGCAAAUAUUAAUCUUGAACGAGGAAUGCCUAGUAAGCGCAAGUCAACAGCUUGCGUUGAUUACGUCCCUGCCCUUUGUACACACCGCCCGUCGCUACUACUGAUUGGAUGUUUAAGCGAGGUUCUCGAACUGCUAGCGACUUAGCUUCGGUGAGGUCGCAGUGUGGGAAGUGAACCUAGCUUUGGUGUCUAGAGGAAGUAAAAGUCGUAACA
rnacentral:rRNA from 1 species